GCAAUGGUGGUAUAGUGUCGAGCAUAGCUGCCUUCUAAGCAGUUGACCCAGGUUGGAUUCCUGGCCAUUGCA
rnacentral:tRNA from 1 species